CCUGGAAACAGAUGCUAAUACCGGAUAACAACAGAUGAUGCCUAUCAACUGUUUAAAAGAUGGUUCUGCUAUCACUCUUGGAUGGACCUGCGGUGCAUUAGCUAGUUGGUAGGGUAACGGCCUACCAAGGCGAUGAUGCAUAGCCGAGUUGAGAGACUGAUCGGCCACAUUGGGACUGAGACACGGCCCAAACUCCUACGGAGGCAGCAGUA
rnacentral:rRNA from 1 species